GUAGGUGGCAAGCGUUGUCCGGAAUUAUUGGGCGUAAAGCGCGCGCAGGGCGGUUUUUUAAGUCUGAUGUGAAAGCCCACGGGCUCAACCGUGGAGGGUCAUUGGAAACUGGAGAACUUGAGUACAGAAGAGGAAAGCGGAAUUCCACGUGUAGCGGUGAAAUGCGUAGAGAUGUGGAGGAACACCAGUGGCGAAGGCGGCUUUCUGGUCUGUAACUGACGCUGAGGCGCGAAAGCGUGGGGAGCAAACAGGAUUAGAUACCCUGGUAGUCCACGCCGUAAACGAUGAGUGCUAAGUGUUAGGGGGUUUCCGCCCCUUAGUGCUGCAGCUAACGCAUUAAGCACUCCGCCUGGGGAGUACGGCCGCAAGGCUG
rnacentral:rRNA from 1 species